GAUGAACGCUGGCGGCGUGCCUAAUACAUGCAAGUCGAGCGAGCAGACGAGGAGCUUGCUCCUCUGACGUUAGCGGCGGACAGGUGAGUAACACGUGGAUAACCUACCUAUAAGACUGGGAUAACUUCGGGAAACCGGAGCUAAUACCGGAUAAUAUAUUGAACCGCAUGGUUCAAUAGUGAAAGACGGUUUUGCUGUCACUUAUAGAUGGAUCCGCGCCGCAUUAGCUAGUUGGUAAGGUAACGGCUUACCAAGGCAACGAUGCGUAGCCGACCUGAGAGGGUGAUCGGCCACACUGGAACUGAGACACGGUCCAGACUCCUACGGGAGGCAGCAGUAGGGAAUCUUCCGCAAUGGGCGAAAGCCUGACGGAGCAACGCCGCGUGAGUGAUGAAGGUCUUCGGAUCGUAAAACUCUGUUAUUAGGGAAGAACAAAUGUGUAAGUAACUAUGCACGUCUUGACGGUACCUAAUCAGAAAGCCACGGCUAACUACGUG
rnacentral:rRNA from 1 species